CGCAUUUGGGAGCCGUGGCAUCUGGGGGUCCUUCCUCUCACCGCGUGAGGGGGGUGUCCGUCAGUCGGCGGUGCUUGGUUGAACGGCCUGUGGCUGAGGGCCGUGGCUGGCAGCUCGCAUCCUAGGUUGGGAAGUCGGAGAGUGUGGCGCUGGCACAGGCCCCGUGAGCUCAGGGCCUUGUGGCUGUGUGGGCCUGGUUCCCGCUGGGGACGAAGGCCCCGGGGGUCUGCGUCUCAGAGCUGAGCAGUAAGCAGUGGAAGGUCGCGUGGUUUCUGAUGAGAGCCCCGGGCCAGGCGGGCGGCCGUCAGCUGUUCUUGCCUUUUGGCUUGGUGAGGCAGUUGGAGCACCCCUCGCGGUUUGGGGCGCCGCCGGAGGGGUGAGACUUUGGUGCUGCAGCUUGGGGCUCCUCUAGUUCUCCGGCUCGCCCAGUCCACGCCAAGGUGCCCAAACGGGGACCGGGCUGUGGGCCUGGCACUCAGGUCAAGACACUGUGGUGGUUGAUGGCCUGGUCGUGGGGAGCUGGGGGGGAAGAAGAGCACGGAGAGGACAGGUCACAGUGUGAUGCCGUGGGCUUCCGUGGGACGUGCUGCCUCGUUGUGUUCCGAGCGCUGGCAGCGGCUUGUCGGGAAGGUGCCCUGGCUCUGACGGGGCUGGCGAUUGGUGCGUGCCGGGGAAGGCUGGAGGCUUGAAGGCCCGGGGGUGUGCACUGUGGUCGGUGACCUUUGUGGCAGAUGGCGGGCCUUGUUCCAGAGCGGUGGCGCUCUGCGGUUCUCUCCACGGUUCCUUGAAGAGGGGCCCGGCACGUGACUGCCGGGCGGCCGGCCGCCGCUGCUCAUCGAUUGCUUGGGCGACCGUGGCCUUGGAUCCUCCGCCGUCUCAGGCGCGGGGUCUCCGAGGAGAAAGCGUUCCUCCAGCACGGUCCGAUUUUCCUGGCGCGGUUCGCCUCAUGCCUCGUCGCAGGGCUUUAGGUUUCUUCGUGGAAGCCUGUGGGCCUGGCGGAGACGGCGGGUGCCGUGACCCGAGCUGCCCUGCCGCGCACAGACGUCCGCCUUGGAAAACGUCCGCCUCUCCAAGGGUGGCGGGGGCGGGGUGUGUGUGUGCUCGUUCCGUGCCUCCUCUUGCCUUCGUGGACAGAGCCAUCCUUGGGGCCGUGUGAGGUCGUUUGUGGUGUUACAGGUGCCGAGGGAGGGUCCAGACGUUGAACGUGACGGGUCGAGUCCCGUACGCACAGUCGAGAUUCCCUCGUGGCCGUCCUCCCCGGGGCUCCCUGGCCGCCACGUGUGUGUAGGGUUUGAGGUCCUGCUUGGGGGACUUGCCUCGCAGGCCUGAGGUGGGCCAGGCAGCGCGUGGGUGGGAAGGAGUCCUGGAAGGCCGGGGUCCAGAAAGCGGGCCCGCUGUGGUAACGCCAGGUCCCUGGACGGGAGUGGGCUCCAGGUUCAGUCGGGUCUUAGCGUGGGUCGUGGUGGCCACAGACCACCUCUUCCUGGCACUUCCCCUGCCCUGGCACCGCUGAGGGCGUGGGUGUAGCCUCAGUCAGCAGGAAGAGGCGCCUGGCCCCCGGUCCCCGGUGGCGUGGCCACUGGAGAUCAGGAGGGGCUGCUGCUUCUGCCCUCUAGCCCGUGUCCCAGCGGCGCCAGCCUUCGAGUGGUGUAGGCGCUUUACGUGGUUCAGGUCCAGCAGUGGUCGGCGCGUUUCCGUCGGGCGCGGUUCGCGUGGCACGGCGUGCGGGGACAGCGGGCGCCCACGGUCGGGCGGAGGGUGAACCUGCUGGAGUGUCGUGUUCCGGUGUUCAGAGGCAGGGGCUGUGAGAGAGGGAGCCUGUGGCCUAUUUCAGCAGGCCGAAAGGGCAGAGGUGAGCCGCCGGGCGAGUCGAGGUCAAAGCCGCCAGCGCGAGCUCCUGGUCUCGCGGCAGGGCCUGAGGCCAGUGAUGUGUGCGGAAGACGUGCUUCUUCAGGGUCUCGGGCCCCGCGCACCCGAAGACACGCACACGCGCCCGCCUGCGCGCCUUCCUGCGCUUGUGCUGUCACACACGCCUUCUUGUCACACCUGAGGGGAAGAGGUAGAGGCCAAGAAGAUGCAAGGCUUGCCCCGGGGCAGGGAGUCGGGGUGGAACCCUUGGCCUGGCUCUGGUUACCUGAGAGCCUGGCUGGGUCGCUGAGGCGUGCGCGUGCGAUUGCUCUGCACUUCCCAGGUGGGAUCUCCGAGCAAAGCUUGCCGUCGCCCAAGAAGAGAAGACCUUCCUGUCGUUUGUGGAGCGGAGACGCGAGGGAAUCCCGCAAGAAGCGUGGCUUCGGGUGCGCCCCGUGCCCGUGGGUCGCUGAGGCUGGUAAGGAUCCCCCUGCACCCAGUUCGUGCCGUUGGCCCUGGGAGUCCCAGACCGCGCUGAGAGGCUUCUAGCCCGCGGGUCCCCGGGGGCGUGCGGAGCUGGCGCUCUGAGGGUGGGUCGACAGUUGCCCUUGCUCAGGGGCUUGGCUCGGGAUUCUCCGGGCCGCUGGCCGACCCUGAGGUGAUGGGCUCACCCGCCGAGCCCCGCCAGCUGCCCCGAAGGUGCUCGGAUCGAUGAUGACUCCCUCAAAUGCAUUCCUUGGAAAUCUGAACAAAAUGAGUGAGAACUCACUACCGUCGUUCUCGCCGAGACUGAGGUCCAGCACCUGGUCUUCUCCGGGGGUGAGAGGAGUGAGGGACAGCUUCUGGUUGAUGACACUCGCGCAGAGCCCGCCCAGGGCCUCAGCGUGUGGGCGUCUGCUGUGUUUGCACCGGGAGCGUGACCGCAUGAGCUGGACGUUUGCGACUCGGAGGGACUUGCUUGAAUGGCCGGCCUCUGCUGGCGCGGCGCCCGGGUCGCAUGGGCGUCUUUAGAGUCGGAGAGUGUGGCGUUGGCAUGGGCCCGGCCCGUGGUUGGCGCUGAGUACGCGCUGGCCCGGUUCUGGCCUGAGCCGUUGCCCCGGGGGGCGUGGCGGGUGGGGUGGCGGUCCGUGUCUGGAGCCGAACAGCCGAGUCUUCCCUGGGUUCCGUUCGGAGCCUCGGUUUGGGCCGGGCAAGCCGCAGCGCCUGUGGUUGCCUUCUGGCUUGGUGAGGAGGUGUGAUGGGCCCGUGGUUUUGGCGGCGGGGGCAGCGGCCCUAGGCCGCAGCGCUGCAGCUGGCAGCUCCUGUGUGUCACCUGCUCACCCGGGCCACACACAGCUGGCCAAAGGUGGCCCUGGCGCUGACGUCCAGGCAGUGUGGUGGCUGACAGGACGGGCAGGAAGGAAAGGGAGCGGAGGGGAGCGGCCGUAGUGCGGUUCCACGGGCUUGCACAGGAUGUACCCUCUUGUUGGGUUGCGACCGCCGUCGCGGUCUUGCCAGGGGUGGCGUUGGGUCCCAAGGGGGCUGCCGGUUGUUGCCUGCCAGGGAAGGCUCGGCUGCGGUAGAUGACCUGUGCGGUAGACGGCGUCGCGCCCCCGGGAGGUUCGGCCCCCAGUGUUUGUUGUCCUAGCGCCUUGAAGAGACCCACAGGCCCGCGACUGGCCACCGGCCCCGUCUGCUCCGGAUUGCUGAGGCGGACAAUCUCUUUGACCCUGCGCCCCCUCGGGUCCGGCGCUUGCCAGGUGAAGGCGUUGCUGCAGGAAGGUUCGCUCUUCCUGGCCCGGGGGGCUCCUGUGGUCCCGGGCGUGCCGGGGAGCGGGGCCAGGUGGCGGUGUGGGGCGUCGGGGGGGGGGUGGGGGGGCGUGCGCGAGGGGUGGUUAAGAGCGGUGUGCGGAAGCCUGCGGGCGUGGCAGCGACCCGAGGGUGCUGCGAUCCUGGGCGCCCUGCCCCGGACGCACGUCCAGCGUGGAGGAGGAGCACGUCUCCUUGUGUGGGAGCGGUGUCCUAGUUUCAUUCUUUGCCUUGUCUUCCAGGAGGAGGCAGCGUUUGUGCUCUGUGAGGUCGUCUGUGGUGUUCUGGGGCCGAAGGAGGGGGUCAUAGGUCGAGUGCGACGCGGUCGACUUAGGCAAAGUCAUAAUGCCUUGACGGCUGUCGUCCGGGAGGCUCCCUGCCCGCCUGGCGCGCGAGGUGUUGGAGGCUACACCUUGGGGGACUUGCUGUGCAGGCGUGAGGGGGCUUCCCCUUUGGAGCAGGGAGCCGCGGGGUUGAACGUUUCCUCGAAGGCCAGCGCCCCGCAACCCGCAGGCGGUGGAAAUGCCGCGUCGCUGCGUGGGAAUUGGCUGUGGUCUGAGACGGGUCUUGCCCCGGGUCUCGGUGGCUGUGACCAGCCGUUGCAGCGGGGUUCCCUGCUGGCCCGCCCAGGGCGUCUUGGCUUAGAUAGCCCAGACCGGAGUGCGGCCUGAAGGCGUCGGGCCCCUGGAGGUUCAGACGGGCUGCUUCUGUUGCGCCGCCCGUGGGCGAGUGGUGCCGGCUCUCGUGUCAGCCCUGUUGUCCUGGCGGUAGCCAGGUAGCAUUACCAUCAAGUGCCGUUCCCCCCGGCCCAGCUCGCGGGGACACGCUGGCCACGUUGACCUCACAUCCACGGUCAGCGUGAGGGUGUAGGUGGAUGGUCCGUGUCCUUUGCUCAGAAGGAGUGGCGCUCAGAGAGGGAGUCCGGGGCCGAUUGCAGCAGCCUCUAGCGGUGCGAGUUGGCGUCCUUCCUUGGGAAGUCACCGGGCUUCCGCGUGGGGUGGCAGGGCACGAGGUCAGGCAUCUGUGAGGACGGCGUGCUUUCCCGGGUGCUGAGGCCACCGCACACGGAAGCCCGCAGGCACGCACGCGCGCGCGCGCGCACACACACACACACACACACACACGUGCACAGGCCUGCGCAUCUGCCUACACUCGGGAUAUCACACGCGCCUUCGGUCAUCCCGAAGGGAUAGAGGUACAGGGCAAGCAGAUGCAAGGGUGCCGCGGGGGGAACUGUGGCACGGAUCCUGUCUUCUGACCAGCUGGGCACGUUUCUGAAGCAUGCGUGUGCUUUCUCUACACUCCUCAGGUGGAAGAGCCGUGCAAAGCUCGCUGCCGCCCACCGACAGAAGAAGACCCUUCGUGUCCCGUGACGAGCGCAGGUGCGAGGCAGUCGCGGCGGAAGUGUGGCCCGGGAUGCGCACCACGCCCUCGGACGGCCCAGGACGUUCAACAUAGAAUCAGCACUGGUUUUCACAUGAAAGAAUUUUUUUUUUUCUCCUUGAGAAGUAAAAUGACGGAGACUAAGUCUGGCAUCCAAACUUCACUGUCCAGUGGGAAUUUUCACACUGAAUGGAAGUGAUUUUGGAAGAGCAUGGAAUACUCACAACUGUAGUGAAGAAGUGCUGAUUUUGUCACUUUUACCUGUUCCCUUUCCUGAGAUGGAACAAAACAGUGCAAUCCAAAGGUCAACAAGAACAAAUCUCAGGUUUCAUAUGAAAAUGUUUAUUCCUUCUCCUUGAGAUAAGACAUGAAGGAAAGGCCCAUCCUCAAGGACCAGUGGGAAUUCUUAGAUUGGUGGAAGCAGUGGGAUUUGAAGCAAACUUCUGACAACAUCCAGGGUCAACAAGAAACGCAGAGGGAAGGGACAUUUUACUGCUUGGAAUUCUCACUGCCACUCUGAAGAAGUGCUGUUUUUGUCACUUGCACCAGCUCCUUUCUCUGAAAAAGAUCAAAACAAUGCACUCCAGAGGCUGACAUGGACCAAAAAGUGGGUUUCAUAUGAAAGAGUUUAUUCCUUCCCUUUGAGAUGUGAAGGAAAGUAUUGGGAAUAAUUCUACCUUCCAUCCUCAAGGGCCUGUGUAAAUUCUCACAAAGGUACAGAUAGAGCCUAGAAGGAAAGGGAAACUAUGCCUUUCCCUUUACUCUUGAAUGUCAGCUCCAGAGAAUGAGCUGAAAACUUCCUUCUUAGUCAGUGAUUCUCCAUUCCUACUGGUGAUCUUUUGGACACUCUUGCAGAAGAUGACUACUUGGGAAUUCUUUGGGGAGUGAAUGAUACCAGUAAAUCCCUGAAACAAGACUUUUCAGACAAAGAGCCUUUUCACUUACCUGUUGUUCAAGGGCCACCCUCUAAAGUCUUCUUGCAGGUGAUGACCUCAAAGGCGAGGUGGAUUUGUUACUGUGGAAGCCAUUACUUCUAUCACCAGCUUCACCAAAAACAAUGAUACAGUCCUCCUUAUGCAUGGAGACUCCUCUCUUUCCUGUGUUGCAGUGGACACCUCCUGCAGAUAAGAAAUGCUUAACUGAGAAAUGCUCAUAUUGGGAUAUCAUCGAUGAGACUUUAAUUUGGGCAUGGUGACUGUUUCCCUUGCUGCCACUUGACUCAAUCCCAGGAGCCUCAGUAGAGGAAAUAUUAUUGCACAAGAAACUCAAAAUGGUGGAAUUGCUCAGUGCUCCCAUAAAUAGACAUUUAUAAUUUUCAUUUGCCAUGUGGUGAAUUUUAAAAAUAGGAUAUAUUAAAAAGAAGCUGCAUGAAUUUUUUCAAAAAUUCAAAGCAUUUCUAAAUAUCUAAUACAGAAAUUAAGUGCCCUCCUCUCUCCCAAUUCUAACCCCCAGAGUUUUUCUUUAUUAAGGGAGUUGUGUGCAUUCUUUAAGUGGAUAAAUGCACACAUGCAAGCUAUUUCUGGAGGGUUCUGGAAGUGGGGCCAUGCUGUACACAUUCUUCUGCAAAUUGCCUUUCAUUUAAUAGUUUUUUAAAUGCCCUUUUUCUAUUUCAGUAAUAUACAUUUGUGUCAUUUGUUGAAUGACUGCAUGACUGUUUUGUAGAUGAAAUAUAAUUAAAUGUUUUGAUUAUUUCUCAGCCAUAGAUAUUUAUGUUAGCACCAAAUUUCUGCACAGUGAACCUCCCUAUUUAUUAAUAGUUUUGCAUUUGUCUAUUAUAUCAUGAUAAAUUACUUAGCAGUUGAAAUACUGGGAUUAAGAAUGUGCACAUUUCAAAUUUUGAAAAUUAUUGCAAGAUUUCCUUAAAAAUGUGGUGACAACUUAUCCUAAAAUGGCAAUGAAUAAGAUUGCCAGCUUUCCCACAACCUCACAGAUAAUGGAUUUUAUAAAUAUUUAAAAUCUUUGCCAGUGUGAUAGCCCAAACUAUUGUCUUAAAUUGUAUUUCUUUUGUUUUUGAGUUUGAUCAUUUUUUCAUAUGUUAUUAGCCAUCUGUAUUUUUUAAUUUCCUCUUUAUGUCUGAUUUUGGGAGUCGGGGGAGGUUUUAGUCUCUUCCUGAUUUUGAAGAGCUCAUUGAUUAUUGGGGGAAUAACCUUUGGAUUGUCAAGCAUUACAGAUAUUUUUUACACACUUUUAAACUUCAUUUUUGAUAUAAGAAUGUAUAUAAUUAUUAUGUGUCUAAGUAUAACCGUGUUCGCUUCUAUGGCUUCUGAAUUUCAUGUCAUUUUGGAAAGGUAUUUAAACUGAUUCCAUAAAACCCUUCAUAUAUGUUAACUUCUAAUUCUUUUGUGUUUUUUUAAUUCAAAUUCUGAAAUCAUAAGAAAUUUUUUUAUUUGAAAUCUUAAAGUUGCCAAGUUAUUUGCCAUUACUUGCGAUUAUUUGCCAAUAAUUGCCCAUUUAUCUGUAAUGCCAUCUUGCACAUAUGCUGUAUUCUCAUCUGUGACUGGCUCCAUUUUUGUUCUGUGGAUCUUUGCGUCUCUUCUUCUGCCUCUUGUCUCAUGUGUCUUCUUGUUGGAAGAAAUUACAGUAUAGACUGCAAUUUCAUCAACUUUAAUAAAUUAAUUUAGGGGAGAAUUGGUUUUUAAUAAUAUAAGUCUUCCUGUUCAAGGACAAGGUAUGUCUUUUUUUUUAUUCAAUAAUUUUAAUUACUGUUAAUAUUUUCACUUUGUGAUGGGGGUGUUUUCUUUCUGUUUAUUUUCUUGAUAAUUUUUCUGUAUCUGAAAGUUUUGUGUUUUUUUUUGGUAAGUGGUCAGCUUACACUUUCUCAUGGCUUCAGAUUUUUUCAAAGUACAUACUAAAUCCUUUGCAAAUACUAGUAGUUUUUAGUCUCUCCUUCAAAAUGAUCUAGAUUUCAGUUAUGUUGAUAAAGUUCACUGACUGGUACUUUCAGAGCACUUAAACAAUUGUGGAAAUGUCCAACCUUGAUUUAAUCAGAUUUUAAUGGAAUGCUUCUUGGUUUUGACUAGCACAUUAUUGUUGGCCUUUUACCCAAAAAGACUUGCAGAAAGAGCUAUGAUCAAGCAAAGCUGAGUUUAUUAAACCUACUGCAGUAAGGAAAAACACCACUUUGACAAGAUUUAGUAGUGUUUCAAAAGCAGAAAGUUAGGACUUAGGGGUUUGGGCUAAUGUGGUUUAAGGCAGGCUUUUCAAGGCACAGAACUGGUUAGGAAUGGGCAGAAUCUGUCAUGUAAUAGUUUAGGUUUGUGAAAGAGUAAGGACCUUGAUAUGAGUCUAGAUAACCAAAUUUGUGUCUGAUAAAUGAGCUGUUUGCCCAUGUGAGUUAGAUGUUAUCAAUGAGCUAUUUGCUUUGAUGAGCAAGCUGAAUCUACUUAUUGGUUUAUAGUUCAUUCUUGUUUAUAGGACACUGCUGGGGGUUGCAUGAGGUCUUAGUGCCAAUAGGUAAGUUAUUUUGAUGUGGGUAGUCUCAAUUGUCAAUUUAAUAUGCUAAUUUUAAACUUAAGAUAUGUUUUGUAUCAUGUUAGGAAAGUCUUCCACCUUUUAUAUAUUUCUGAAUAAUUUUAAAAUGAGGUGGUAGAUGUAAUCAAAUACUUUUUGCGUAAACAAUUAUAUUAUUCUUUAAUUAAACAUAUCAUUGUGAAAUAAUUCAUUUUCUGUUAAUGAAAUUUCCUUUUAUUGCUUGAAUGAACAAACCCUAUUUGGUAAAUAGAUGUUUUACUCUUUAAAUUUACUACUGAAUUAUAAGUAUCUUAACUUGAUUUGGAAUUUUUGCAAAUAUACUAUUGAAUGAAAUUGAUUUGCAAUUCUUUUUUGUUCUAUUUUUGUCAUGUUUUGAUAUCAGGUUUUCUGGUUGUGUUAAAAUAAUUUUGAGGAUUUUCUUCUUACUCUGUGUUCCAGAAUGGGUUGAAAAGCUCUAGCAUCAAUAUUAACAGUUAAGCAAACACAUCAAUGAAAUUAUCUGAACUCUUUUUUGUUUUUGAUGGCUUGGAGUAGAACUGAGGCUAACUAGAAAAUUCUCUCACUUUUUUCUAUUGUUAUUGCUUGUUUUUUAUUUUAUAUAUUUAACUUGCUUUCUCCUAGAAAAUCACAAUGCAAGCAGAUUUUCAAAGAAAGUACCACGAAGUUAUAUAAAGUGUUCUUUCAUCACUCUAUUAAUUUCUCUUGUUUCAAUUAAUAUCCAUUUUCAGUCCAGUUUUGUUUUUUUCUGCUAUGCAUUUUUAAUGAAAUAAGUUUGACUAGUGGAUUUCUAGCAUCACUAGCUCUCUCUUCCCCUCUCCCCAAGUCAACUCUUUGGUAUAAUUUAUCAGGGCUUUUUCUUUUUUUGAUGUUUUAAUUUAUUUAUAUGUUUUUAAUGAAUUUCUGUUUUUUAAAAGAAAUUCUUAAAUGUGUAAUCUACUUAUUUUCACUUAUUCUUGGUAGUGAAAUACUUUCCCUGUUGUCAAUUUUAUAAAGCUUUUCAUUAUGAACACAUUCUAAAUAUACACAGUAUAAGGUGAAAAGAACAGUGAGCGUGCAGAUACUGGGAACCCAAUUUCUACCAUUAUCAACAUUUCACCUUAUUUACUUCAUGUUAUUUUUGAAAUAUUUUCAAAUAAGUUAGAAGACUUAUUUCCCUCAGAACACUUAUUUCCCUCAGAAGUAUUUUAAAUACUUUUUUAAAUACUUAAAUUUAAUAAGUAAAAUAAAUACUUAAAUUUUGAGUUACAAAACUCAAAAUAUGCGAAAGGAUAUUCAGUGAAAGGUAAUUCACCUUCUCAAUUCUGUCGUCCAUAACUACCCAAUUUCCCCUUCCUGAUGGUUACUCAGGUUAUAGUUUCUUGUUUUUCCUUUCGGACAUAACACAAACACACACACACAAUCACACACAACCCCCAAAAUGUAUGUGGGUGUGUGUGUAGGUAGAUACACACACACAUACUAUUAUAAUUUUCUGCAACUUUCUGUUAUAUAUUUAUGUAAUACAUAAAUCUUUUAAUGUUUCUAGCAGAUCACUUCAUAUUGGUAUAUGAGGCACUUCCUUAUUUUUAAUAUUUGUAUUUUUACAUAGGUAAAAUUUAUAUAACUAAAUGCAUAGAUCUUAAUUAUAUAAUUCAGUGAGUUUUCUUAAAUGUAUAUACUAUGUAAAUACUACCUUAUUUAAGAGAGAGAAUCUUUUUAUUACUUGAGAACCUCCCCUACUGCCUCCUUCCAGACAAACCUAAUUCUCAUAGGAAACAAUGUUCUUAUUCUAUUGUCAUAGAUUACUUUUGUCUGUUCCUGAAAUUAAUAUAAAUGGAAUCACAUAGUAUGCAUCUGGCUUCUUCCACUCAUCAUGCUAUUGAGAUUCAUCCAUUUUAUUCCCUAUAUCAAUAAGUUAAAAAAUUUUUUUGUUGUUGCAGAGUAGCAUUUCAUUGAAUGGGCAUAUUACAAUUUGUUUAUUCAUUCUCCUGUUGAUGGACAUCUGGGUUUCCAGUUUUUAAAUAUUUUGAAUACGUUAGCAGAUUUUUUGUGUGAUUACCUAAAAAUGGAAUUCACUUGAUCAUAAGAUAGAUUUUGCUGAACUUUGUCAGAAACUGUCAAAAAGGCUUCUAAAGAGGUAGAAACUUUCCACCCUCUCAGCCAGUGAUAUGUGAUAUUUUCAGUUGCUGUCCAUCAUCACCAACCUUAGAAGUUGUUAGUCUUUUAAAUCUUAUUCAUUUGAGAGGGUGUGAGGUGGUAUCUUGUGACCUCAAUUUACAAUUUGGUCACUUAAGAAGAUAAACAAUUUUUCAUGAGGUUAGCUGCCAGUUAUAAAUUCUCUUUAGUAAGAUUUCUGUUUAAUUUCUCCCAAAAUUUUACUUAUUAUUUUAAAGUAAUUUUAGACUUACAGGAAAUUUGCAAAAAUAGUACAGAGAGUUCCUAUAUAUUCUUUGCUUUCCUAAUGUUAACAUCUUGUAUAACCAUUAUUGUAACAUUAAUACAUAUAACAAUUACUAAAAUCUAUAAAUUUUAUAACAUUGAUGUAAAUACUACUAACUAGUCUGAAGACCAUAUUUGAAUUUUGCCAAUUGUCCCACUAAUGUCCUUUUCUUCUAGUUCUGAAUCCAACUCAAAAUCUCGCAUUGUAUCUGUAAUUUUUUCCUUUGUCUCUGUACCCACCCCCCAAUCUGGGAGAGUCCUCGGUCUCUCCUUGUUUUCCAUAACCUUGACACAUUUGAGGAAUAUUAGACUGUAAUUUUGUACCAUAGUCCUCAAUUCAGAUUUGUCUGAUAUUUCCUCAUGUUUAGAUUAGAGUUAUGCACUUUGGUAAAAAUAGCACAGUGAUAAUAGUGUGUGCUUUUCAGUGGAUCAUGUAAGCAGUGCAUGAUGUCAAUAUAUCUUAUUUCUGCUCAUGUUAAAUAUGAUUACUUGGUUAAAGUGGUGUAUGCUAGGUUUCUCCACUGCAAAGUUACUAUAUUUCUCUUUGCAAUUGAUAAUAUUUCGUGAGGAGUUACUUUGAGACUAUGCAAAUAUUUUCUCUCAUCAUGUAUCAUACAUAUAUGCCUAAAGAUGGUUUUCUAUUUCCAUGAUACAUUCUACAAUUAUUCAUUAGAAUAUGACUGUAAGGAAGAGCUGCCUUCUCCUCCAUUUAUUUAUGUGUUCAAUUGUUGUUUUAUAUCAGUAUGGAUAUAUGAUUAUUGUGUUCCAUGAGUUUUCAUAUAUUGCAGUAAAUAUUUACUUUUAUUUCUCAAAUUAUCCAAGAUUUGACCAUUGGGAGCUCCUUUAAGUUGGCCCCUGUGUUCCUUCACAUAAUUUUUUGAGCACUUCCUUAGUUUUUGGUUCCACAAGAUGUUCUUGGCUUAUCUUAUAUUUUCCUUUCCCAAACCUGGAAUCAACCACUUCUUCAAGGAACUCUGGUUCUUUGUACUGGAAAAUAGUAUUUAGAAACUAAGAUCCGAGUGUUAGGUGUGCUCAUUGCUAUUGGGAUAUCAUUUCUUCUAGGCAUACUAGUGUGCAGAGUUGGUAUGUAGAAGUUUACUCAUACACGUAGGCACACAUCUAAAUUAUUUCUAUCUCUAUCCUUGUGUGUGUGUGUGUUUGUGUGUGUGUAUGUGUAUCUCCAUACUGAUAUUUCUGAUUACAAACCAUUAUCACAGGGCUCAUUUUAUUCUUUCCUCUUCCCUUAUUUGUAACCCCUUUCCCCAAUUGCAAGAAACCUACCUUUCAUUACCCACAAUAUGUUUUCUUAUUUCCUCAAUCCACUGUAUACAUUGUUUCAGAAUUGCUAAGCCAUACUCCUUUAAAAAAGAUAAUUACUAACUGAAGUACAAUAUUUAACUAUGGUUCUAUUUU
rnacentral:lncRNA from 1 species